rnacentral:rRNA from 1 species
UGGGGAAUAUUGCACAAUGGGCGCAAGCCUGAUGCAGCCAUGCCGCGUGUGUGAAGAAGGCCUUCGGGUUGUAAAGCACUUUCAGCGGGGAGGAAGGCGUUAAGGUUAAUAACCUUGGCGAUUGACGUUACCCGCAGAAGAAGCACCGGCUAACUCCGUGCCAGCAGCCGCGGUAAUACGGAGGGUGCAAGCGUUAAUCGGAAUUACUGGGCGUAAAGCGCACGCAGGCGGUUUGUUAAGUCAGAUGUGAAAUCCCCGGGCUCAACCUGGGAAAUGCAUCUAAUACUGGCAAGCUUGAGUCUCGUAGAGGGGGGUAGAAUUCCAGGUGUAGCGGUGAAAUGCGUAGAGAUCUGGAGGAAUACCGGUGGCGAAGGCGGCCCCCUGGACGAAGACAGACGCUCAGGUGCGAAAGCGUGGGGAGCAAACAGG